CCUACGGGUGGCAGCAGUGGGGAAUAUUGGACAAUGGGGGGAACCCUGAUCCAGCCAUGCCGCGUGUGUGAAGAAGGCCCUCGGGUUGUAAAGCACUUUCAGUGAGGAAGAACGCCUGGUGGUUAAUACCCAUCAGGAAAGACAUCACUCACAGAAGAAGCACCGGCUAACUCCGUGCCAGCAGCCGCGGUAAUACGGAGGGUGCGAGCGUUAAUCGGAAUUACUGGGCGUAAAGCGCGCGUAGGUGGCUUGAUAAGCCGGUUGUGGAAGCCCCGGGCUCAACCUGGGAACGGCAUCCGGAACUGUCAAGCUAGAGUGCAGGAGAGGAAGGUAGAAUUCCCGGUGUAGCGGUGAAAUGCGUAGAGAUCGGGAGGAAUACCAGUGGCGAAGGCGGCCUUCUGGACUGACACUGACACUGAGGUGCGAAAGCGUGGGUAGCAAACAGGAUUAGAUACCCUAGUAGUC
rnacentral:rRNA from 1 species